UCGAAAUGCAAGGGUUUGAUUAUAGUAGCUACGUACUUGUAAAACUUCUUGUGAGAAAAAUUUCAAGCGGCACAUUACAUGUCGGACCUUUUCAUGAAAAAACUGAAACUGCCAAAGGUUCAGGUAAAGAAAAUUUGGAAAUUAACGUUUUUCACUGGAUUCUCACUGUAUUUGCUGCCAUAAUAAUUCUACUGGUAUUAUUUUUGAUCUUCCAAC